UACGGAGGGAGCUAGCGUUGUUCGGAAUUACUGGGCGUAAAGCGCACGUAGGCGGAUUGUUAAGUCAGGGGUGAAAUCCUGGAGCUCAACUCCAGAACUGCCUUUGAUACUGGCAAUCUCGAGUCCGGAAGAGGUAAGUGGAACUCCUAGUGUAGAGGUGGAAUUCGUAGAUAUUAGGAAGAACACCAGUGGCGAAGGCGGCUUACUGGUCCGGAACUGACGCUGAGGUGCGAAAGCGUGGGGAGCAAACAGG
rnacentral:rRNA from 1 species